AGCCAGAAGGAAGGAGGCUGCUCCCUAAUAAAUCUAUCAUAGCUGCUGCUGCUGCUGGGAUCUAGGUCAUAAAUGCCACGACCUCUCGUGCAUACUGGGAGGGACACGGAGCCUUUUAAAGACAGAGCAUGGUCAUGUUAAAGAAAGAUUUUCAACAGAGACUCCCACCUCAUUUCUUCAUGUAGAUAAAGAAAGGAAACUAGGACAUGAUGAGAGAAACCAUGGAGGGAACCCUGUGGACAGAUGUGGUAACAACAGACAUGGAAUAGAGAAUCAGUGGCGUAUUCUGUUUUAUCACCACUAUGAAAGAUCAGGAUUAUCCAGGGCAGAGGUGCCGAAAGAUGGAUCAUGACACAGCUUCAGGUGAUCCUCCAGCACAACUGCAUUCUUUAACUCCACAUGACCUGUGUAAUUUAAGUACAAG